UGUGUGCUUUUGUUUUGGGGCCUCACAGCCGCCACCAAUCAGUCUGAGGGAGACUCUCUGAGGGAGAGUCACCACAGACCAGUACCUCCACUUAUCACAUGCAUGACUCUCACUCCCUUGAGUUUGGCUUUUGAGGGGUGUGUGUGUGUUUCUGCUCCUCGUUGCCACCACCGAUCAGUCUCUGCCUGAUUUGCUGCCCAGCUCCACCUUUUCCCUUUCUCCAUAGACUACGGAGAAGUCCACUGACUGCUCUCCUCAUAGCCCAGUAAUGCUCCCUCCCUUGAGUGUGCAGGGAAGGGCCAUGUGUUUUUGUUUUGGGGCCUCACUGCCACCCGACCUGUCAUUUGGGUGGGAAGUGGGCUCACGAAAGGCGCUUUCUCUGGCAUCCCUGCCUCUGUCUCCCCUCUUCGCCACCCUUCUCUGUCUUCUUCUGACAGCCCCAUCUGCCUGACCCUGGAAACUCAGGAAAGACUGAGCAGAGAGCUUCAUAACCAGGAGCCACCGUGGGGGCUGGAAGAUGGCGGUUGGGAGUAGGAGACAGCAGCAACAGCAGCAGCAGGGGAAAGUGUAGCGGGGCUUGCCGAGCAAGUGAGGCUGGGAAGGAAAGCGUUGGUGUGUCCUCUUGAACCUCUUCUUCCAUCUCUGGUUCUCAACCUGUGGGUGGCUCUUCCUCGACUCCCCCCAGCCCAAGAUGGACCUUGGCGCUGUGCUCUCCCCAUUGGCAGCGCUGCUGUGGGAGUUACUUUUGCCGCCUCUACUUUAAGAUGCUGACUGGAAGGCAGGCAGGUGGGUGGGCGGCCACUCACCUCUUCCUCAGGAAAUCCCCCUUCCUCCUCCUCAAGACACACACUUGGGGCUCAGCCUCUCUGCUCACGCUCUCCUGCCUAUCUGGUGCAGUUUUGCUGCCAGCCGCCACUUUCCGGCAUUCCUCUCCCCCUCCCAGCAGCUCGCUCACGGACUCUCACAAGAGCUGCCAAACAUGGGAUAGCCACGGGUGUUUGCACAGGCUGUGUUGAGCUGAAGGUAGCAGAAGAACAAGGGAAAAGGUGGCGAGUGACGGAACCAGAACAGGGGUUGAUGUCAAGCUUACGUACCUGAAAACCUGCUCUAUCCUGUCCUGCCAGGGCUUGCUCCCCAGAUCAACUCAACUCCCUGCUCACUCAUCUGAGAUUUCAGCACACCCAGACAUGUGGAGAGUGCCUCUAUUGAUUACGGAUGUAGAAUCAGCAAUUCUGGAAGUAACAUGCAUUAUUCAUGGUUUUUAAAGUUCCAAAGGAGGAAGGCCUCAUCAUGUUAACAAGCAGCAAAACUAUGCUACUUUAGCAGAGGCAGAAACUGGAUAUGCAUUAUGGCAUGAGGAUCAAAUAAAACUCAACAGCAGCAGUGUCUGGCAUGCAGGUUAACCUUCCGGAUGAGAGGAGGAAAGGAGCCAUUCCAAAAGGCCCACUCACCAAGUUAAACAAUAACCUGAGAAAUUAAUGAGAAAGAGGACCCAACUCCACAGCAGGUCCUGAACCUGAAGGAUAUCAGGUAUGGGUUCAACCUGUGUAGCACCACCAAAUUAUAGCCAGAAGAGAGAACAAGCGAGGAAGACCAGCCUCUUAAGGAGAGGAGAAGGUCACAUGGUACUAUAUGAACCACCUAUAUAAGAACUUCCAAGACAAGUUUGUUCCCUGACUUGAGUGAUGAGGGACCUCUGC